UUUAAGGUUUAAUCUGCUCAAUGAUUAUUUAAAUUGCCGCAGUAUUUUGACUGUGCAAAGGUAGCAUAAUAAUUAGUUUCUUUAUUGGGAACUGGAAUGAAUGAUUGGACGAGAAAAUUUCUGUCUCUUUAUUAUUUUAAUUGAAUUUUACUUUUAAGUUAAAAGGCUUAAAUUUUAUUAGAGGACGAGAAGACCCUAUAGAGUUUAAUUUUUAUUUAAAUAAUUAUUUUUAGUAUUUAUAUAUAUUAUUUAAAUAAAAAUUUAGUUGGGGUGACUAAAAGAUAAGAAUAACUCUUUUAAUUUUUAUCAAUUAUUUUUGAUUAUAGAAUCUUUAUUUUUAAUUUUAAAAUAAAUUACCUUAGGGAUAACAGCGUAAUUCUUUUUUAAAGUUCUUAUUAAAAGAAGAGUUUGCGACCUCGAUGUUGGAUUAAAAUUAAUUUUAGGUGUAGAAGCUUGAAAAUUAAGUCUGUUCGACUUUUAAAAUUUUACAUGAUCUGAGUUUAAACCGGUGUGAGCCAGGUUGGUUUCUA
rnacentral:rRNA from 1 species